CGGGGGGAGCGGGGCGGGCGGCCGGGCAGCCGGCGGCGCCCCGGCCUCUCCCCGCCAGGCGGUCUCAGGCCCCUGGGACCCCUCCCCGCUUCUUCCCACCCUCCCCGUCCUGCCCCGCGUUCCCGACCGCCGCCUCUCCUCACGCCUGGACCUGCCCUUCUCGGCGCCCCCGUUCUCCAGGGAGAUGCGAUGAGCCGGCGCCCCCGCGUCCUCAUCGCCGUCCCGGGCACGGUGCCCGUCCGGUGCCCGUGGUGGGGAGGGAGCCCCCCUCGACCCCUUCGUGACGCCCCUCCCUUGGGCCCCCGCCCAGCUGGAGGCCCUGGGCCAUGCCCCAGGGGACCCAUCCGGGAGGUCGGCUCUAGAGCGAGGAGGGUGGAGAAGAGAGAGGACGGGGCCUUGGGCGCCUCUGAGAUGCUCCCAAGCGCCGGUGGAGCCCGAGCGAGGCGCAGGCAACCGCGCGGCAGGCAUGAUGCCCUCGCCCAGUGACUCCAGCCGCUCGCUGACCAGUCGACCCAGCACCCGGGGCCUUACCCACCUCCGCCUCCACCGACCCUGGCUGCAGGCCCUGCUCACGCUGGGGCUGGCUCAGGUGCUCCUGGGCAUCCUGGUGGUCACCUUCAGCAUGGUGGCCUCCUCCGUCACCACCACCGAGAGCAUCAAGAGGUCCUGCCCGUCUUGGGCUGGAUUCUCGCUGGCGUUCUCCGGGGUAGUUGGCGUUGUGUCUUGGAAGCGGCCAUUCACUCUAGUGGUCUCCUUCUUCUCCUUGCUUUCGGUGCUCUGUGUCAUGCUCAGCAUGGCUGGCUCUGUUCUCUCCUGUAAGAACGCUCAGCUGGCCCGAGACUUCCAAGACUGCUCCAUGGAAGGAAAGGUCUGUGUGUGCUGCCCCUCCAUUCCCCUGCUUCGGCCCUGUCCAGAGUCGGGGCAGGAACUGAAAGUUGCCCCCAACUCCACCUGUGACGAAGCCCGAGGGGCCCUCAAGAACCUGCUCUUCAGCGUCUGCGGGCUCACCAUCUGUGCCGCCAUCAUCUGUACCCUCUCAGCUAUUGUCUGCUGCAUCCAAAUCUUCUCCCUGGACCUCGUGCACACGCAGCUGGCCCCAGAGCGCUCAGCCUCAGGCCCCUUGGGGUCUCUGGGCUGUACGUCCUCGCCGCCAGCCCCUCUGCUACACACCAUGCUGGACUUGGAGGAAUUUGUACCGCCGGUGCCCCCCCCACCUUACUACCCCCCAGAGUAUACCUGCAGCUCGGAAACAGACGCCCAGAGCAUCACCUACAAUGGCUCCAUGGACAGCCCGGGGCCCUUGUACCCUACUGACUGUCCCCCUUCUUAUGAGGCCGUCAUGGGGCUACGAGGAGACAGCCAGGCCACUCUGUUUGAUCCACAGUUUCACGACGGCUCCUGCAUCUGUGAGCGCGUGGCCUCCAUCGUAGACGUGUCCAUGGACAGCGGGUCUCUGGCGCUGUCCGCCAUCGGUGACCUCCCCGGGGGCUCGAGCCCGUCGGAGGACUCGUGCCUGCUGGAGCUGCAGGGCUCCGUGCGCUCCGUCGACUACGUGCUCUUCCGCUCCAUUCAGCGUAGCCGCGCCGGCUACUGCCUCAGCCUGGACUGCGGCCUGCGCGGCCCCUUCGAGGACAGCCCCCUGCCGCGGAGGCCCCCCAGGGCCGCCCGCUCCUACUCCUGCUCCGCCCCCGAGGCCCCGCCCCCUUUGGGGGCCCCCACGGCCGCCCGCAGCUGCCACCGGCUGGAAGGCUGGCCUCCCUGGGUGGGACCCUGCUUCCCCGAGCUGAGGCGGCGGGUCCCACGGGGCGGCGGCCGGACGGGGGCGGCAGCGGCCCCCCCUCCCCGCGCCCCCACUCGCCGCUUCAGCGACAGCUCAGGUUCCCUCACCCCCCCGGGGCACCGGCCUCCGAAUCCGGCUCCCCCGCCACCGCUGCUGCUGCCACGGUCCCACAGUGACCCGGGCAUCGCCACCUCCAGCGACACCGCUGACUUCAGGGACCUUUAUACCAAAGUGCUCGAGGAAGAAGCUGCUUCCGUUUCCUCUGCAGAUACAGGGCUCUGCUCUGAAGCCUGCCUCUUCCGUCUAGCCCGCUGCCCUUCUCCCAAGUUGCUACGUGCCCGCUCAGCCGAGAAACGGCGCCCUGUGCCCACCUUUCGAAAGGUCCCCCUGCCCUCGGGCCCUGCACCUGCCCACUCCCUGGGAGACCUGAAGAGCAGCUGGCCAGGCCGGGGCUUGGUCACUCGUUUCUUCCAGAUGUCCAAGAAGGCCCCAGACCCCAGUGGCAAUGGGGCCCAUGGGCUUAAGCAGGUGCCCCACAGCCCGUGGGGCCGGCCAGGCCGAGAGAGCCUCCACCUUCGAAGCUGUGGCGACCUGAGCUCCGGCUCUUCCCUGCGGCGCCUUCUGUCUGCUCGCAGGCUGGAGCGUGCCACCCGCCCCCACAGCCUCAGCCUCAACGGGGGCAGCCGGGAGACAGGGCUCUGACCUGGGCUUCUUGCCACUGUGAACAGAUCCGGGUGAAUGCUGGGGCCACAGGCACCAGCUGGUUGGGACCAACAACCCCCAGCGCCCCACGCACUGGCUGACACAAAAAGAAACCCGCUGAACACCCCCAGAAGUAUCCCUUUGCCUCCUACCUCCGGGGGCUCCUGCUGCUUGGCUCUGCCCCUCUGGACCAGGGGAGCUGCUGUCCUGUGCUGCAUGGGCAUUCAGGCUGUGGGGGAGAGGCCCCCGCUUACAGCAUUGGAAGAGGAAGAUAAAGUCUUAUCCCCCAGCAUGAAAGAGCUCUCUCUGACUUGACAGGGACACUGUGGCCAGGGCAAAGGCGUGGCCCAGUGCUUAAGCACAGGGGGCUGUGUGCCUGUGUAAUGGGGUGGUAAGGCAUGAAGAGUCCAAAAAGUCUGGGGGACUCUCAGCUCUGCCACCUCUAGCUGCAUGACCUUGGGCGAGUCAUUUAACCUCAAUUGCCUGAUCCAUAAAACAUUGUGAAGAUGAAUGUUUGUAAAGCUCUGAAUACACGGAAUAAGCCUUCAAUAAAUUUCAAUUUUCCCCUUCUCUUCUGGA